ACUCCUACGGGAGGCAGCAGUGGGGAAUAUUGCACAAUGGGCGCAAGCCUGAUGCAGCCAUGCCGCGUGUAUGAAGAAGGCCUUGGGUUGUAAAGUACUUUCAGCAGUGAGGAAGGUGGGGUAUGUUAAUAGCAUAUUCUAUUUGUACGUUAGCUGCAGAAGAAGCACCGGCUAACUCCGUGCCAGCAGCCGCGGUAAUACGGAGGGUGCGAGCGUUAAUCGGAAUUACUGGGCGUAAAGCGCAUGCAGGUGGUUUGUUAAGUCAGAUGUGAAAGCCCGGGGCUCAACCUCGGAAUUGCAUUUGAAACUGGCAAACUAGAGUACUGUAGAGGGGGUUAGAAUUUCAGGUGUAGCGGUGAAAUGCGUAGAGAUCUGAAGGAAUACCGGUGGCGAAGGCGGCCCCUGGACAGAUACUGACACUCAGAUGCGAAAGCGUGGGAGC
rnacentral:rRNA from 1 species